rnacentral:rRNA from 1 species
AUCGAACGCUGGCGGCAGGCUUAACACAUGCAAGUCGAACGAGUGGCGGACGGGUGAGUAAUGCCUGGGAAUCUAGCUUAUGGAGGGGGAUAACUACGGGAAACCGUAGCUAAUACCGCGUACCAUAGGAUGAGCCCAAGUGGGAUUAGGUAGUUGGUGAGGUAAAGGCUCACCAAGCCGACGAUCUCUAGCUGGUCUGAGAGGAUGACCGGCCACACUGGAACUGGGACACGGCCCAGACUCCUACGGGAGGCAGCAGUGGUGAAUAUUGCGCAAUGGGGGCAACCUGACGCAGCCAUGCCGCGUGAGUGAAGAAGGCCUUCGGGUUGUAAAGUACUUUCAGUCGGGAGGCGGUACCGACAGAAGAAGCACCGGCUAACUCCGUGCCAGCAGCCGCGGUAAUAC